UACCAGCACCCCGAGUGGGCGGGACGAUUAUUGGGCCUAAAGCAUCCGUAGCCGGUUCUACAAGUCUUCCGUUAAAUCCACCUGCUUAACAGAUGGGCUGCGGAGGAUACUAUGGAGCUAGGAGGCGGGAGAGGCAAGCGGUACUUAGUGGGUAGGGGUAAAAUCCGUUGAUCCAUUGAAGACCACCAGUGGCGAAGGCGGCUUGCCAGAACGCACUCGACGGUGAGGGAUGAAAGCUGGGGGAGCAAACCGG
rnacentral:rRNA from 1 species